AGCGAACGCUGGCGGCAGGCCUAAUACAUGCAAGUCGAGCGCACCUUCGGGUGAGCGGCGGACGGGUGAGUAACGCGUGGGAACGUGCCCUUUGGUACGGGAUAACUGAGGGAAACUUCAGCUAAUACCGUAUGUGCCCUACGGGGGAAAGAUUUAUCGCCAUUGGAGCGGCCCGCGUUGGAUUAGGUAGUUGGUGGGGUAAAGGCCCACCAAGCCGACGAUCCAUAGCUGGUCUGAGAGGAUGAUCAGCCACACUGGGACUGAGACACGGCCCAGACUCCUACGGGAGGCAGCAGUAGGGAAUCUUGCGCAAUGGGCGAAAGCCUGACGCAGCCAUGCCGCGUGAAUGAUGAAGGUCUUAGGAUUGUAAAAUUCUUUCACCGGGGAAGAUAAUGACGGUACCCGGAGAAGAAGCCCCGGCUAACUUCGUGCCAGCAGCCGCGGUAAUACGAAGGGGGCUAGCGUUGCUCGGAAUUACUGGGCGUAAAGGGCGCGUAGGCGGAUGUUUAAGUCGGGGGUGAAAGCCCGGGGCUCAACCUCGGAAUUGCCUUCGAUACUGGACAUCUUGAGUACGGGAGAGGUGAGUGGAACUCCGAGUGUAGAGGUGAAAUUCGUAGAUAUUCGGAAGAACACCAGUGGCGAAGGCGACUCACUGGCCCGUUACUGACGCUGAGGCGCGAAAGCGUGGGGAGCAAACAGGAUUAG
rnacentral:rRNA from 1 species